rnacentral:lncRNA from 1 species
CCUUCUCCCCACAUGCUUUUCCCUCCUCCAUGCUGACUCACCCCUUAGGAAUUCACUUCACCAGCUCUUUCUUUCUUUCUUUUUUUAAAGAUUUUAUUUAUUUAUUCAUGAGAGACACAGAGAGAGCGGCAGAGACACAGGCAGAGGGAGAAGCAGGCUCCAUGCAGGGAGCCCGAUGUGGGACUCAUCCCAGGACCCCGGGGAUCACGACCUGAGCCAAAAACAGUUGCUCAACCUCUGAGCCACUGAGGUGUCCCUCACCAGGGCUUCCUUAGGCAGCUUUCUUGGCGCUUCCCUGAGGUCAAAUCCCCCCAACCUCUUACACCUUCAGGAAACCCCCAAGUGGCCCUUGGCGUUUUUGCACAAUUUUAAUUACUGUGUGGUGGUUUCAUUCCUAUCUCCCGUGGUUCGAUUAUACAGUUAUUUAGGCAGGAACAUGUCGGCUUUAUCACUGGAUGCCGAGGCCUAGCCCAGAAUCUGGCACGCAGUAGGGGUUCAGUGAUGUUUUGUUUGUUUGUUUGUUUGUUUGUUUGUUUAUGAAUUGACUGAGUGAGCAAGCACCCUUUACAGAGAAGCCCGCUUGGUUUCCCCGGGCCGGUGGGCUGGUGACCUGGGGGCCCCCACCCUGCCCCCCUACAUGCCCAUAUAUGGACAUGAUCAGCACAGCGCUGGCCGCUGUCUGUGAGGUCCAGGCCCCCCGCGACCUCACAAUGCCCAGGGCCCGCCCUGUGUCUAUAAGAGGCCGAGGGGUCAGCCCCCCGGCUCACAGCCCACGAAGUUCCACCUGCUCACAGGUUGGCUGGCUCAACCAAGGUGGUCCCCCUGCUCUGAGCAUCUGGGCCGGAUCCAUCCAGCGCCAUGGCCAGAUACCGAUGCUGCCGCAGCCAAAGCCGGAGCAGAUGCCGCCGCCGGAGACGCAGAUGCCGCAGACGAAGGAGGCGAUGUUGUCGGAGGCGGAGAAGGAGAGUGUGCUGCCGCCGCUACACCGUGGUACGCUGUAGGAGAAGAUGAAUGAACGCCCAGACUCGCCAGCCCACCGCACUCCUGCUGCGCAACCACCAGCCAAGACCCCCCUGCCGCCUCCUGAACAUGCCACCCGCUCGAUGAAGUGAACAGGAGCCUGCUAACGAACAAUGCCGCCUGUCAAUAAAUGAUGAAAAAAUCACCCUUCUCGUCUGUUU